GAUGAAGAACGCAGCGAAAUGCGAUAAGUAAUGUGAAUUGCAGAAUUCAGUGAAUCAUCGAAUCUUUGAACGCACCUUGCGCUCCUUGGUAUUCCGAGGAGCAUGCCUGUUUGAGUGUCAUGAAAUUCUCAACCUUUCUGGCUUUUGCUAGUCAGGCUUGGAUUAUGGGAGCUGCUGGCUUUUGAAGUCGGCUCUUUUAAAAUGUAUUAGCAAGAUCAUUGCUGCUCAUCAUUGGUAUGAUAAUUAUCUAUAUCAUUGAGAGUCAGUUUCCUUUAUUGGAAGAUUUUGCUCCUAACGGUCUUUAGCAAGACAACAUUUGACGAUUUUGACCUCAAAUCAGGUAGGACUACCCGCUGAACUUAAGCAUAUCAAUAAGCGGAGGA
rnacentral:misc_RNA from 1 species